AUCUCUCAACCAAAAUCCGCAAACUUUGACAAAGUAAUGGUGGAAAAUUGAAUUUUUGGUGAGUGGGUGAAUGAGAAAGUGAGGAAAUCUCUCUAAAAUGCUCUUGAAAGUGAAAGAAGAGUGCUAGGGCUUAGGGAGACCGCUCAGGUGAAAUGCAAAGAAAGGUUUCUGUUGACGGAUUGGCAAGCGUACCAAAUCGUUCAAGUAAUAUAAUUGGUAAAACCCAAUAUCGUUCUUCCCAAGAGACUUGAAAGGCUGUCUCGUUCACGUGAAUUAAAAUAAUAAGACUUGAAAAUAAAAAUAAUUAAUUUGAUUUGACAACAAAAAUAUUAACAUGCAAAAGAGAUUGAUUCAAUUGACAAAAGAAAACAAUGGAUGAAUGGAGUUGUUGGGGGUUUACAAUUUCAUCUAAUCCUNUCUCUUUUAUCUACUCCUCUUGAAUUAUUAGUUUGAUUAAUUAAUUGUCAUGCAACUUUCUUAGCCUACCCUUAACCCGAUCCCUCGGCGAAAAGAGCCUAAUACUAAUUACUGGCUUGCUAUCCCUAGCCUCCCCUAGCAAUUAAUACAACAUUAUAGAGCAGAAUUUAAACGCAAUUUAUCGUCAUACCCCUAUCCCUAGGAGAUAUUGCAGAAUCAAGAAAUUACUCACCAAUUCAUGACAUUAUUGUACGUCCACGUAUCAAUAAAGACAAACAACAGUUAUCGAAUGAGUUAAACGAUAAAGGNAUUAAGCACAGAUGAGAACCCAACAAUUAACAAUCAAAACAUAUGAAAACCAUAUAAAUAAUCAAGAGUUUCAAUAAAAGAGAGUAUCAAAAUAUUACAUUGUUUCCCCCGACAACAAUAGGGUUUAGUUCACCAUUUUCAUGGUGAAACUAGAUGAAAAAUGGAAGAAGAAUGGAAAAGCAAACCCUAGAAAAGAUGAAAAGGAGCCUAAGACUCCAAGAGAUCCUCUCUAGAGAGCAAAAUUAGGUCUGGCCGUCCUCCCCUGUCAAAAGAAUGACUCUGAACUCGCAAUAGGGGUAUAUAUAGGUGAGGAGCGCAACAGAAAAUAGGCCCAAGCCCAACGGACCACCGCCCGGCAGAACAAGUGUGCCGCCCGGUGGUUUCCCAUAAGCCUCAGAACCGCCCCACGGUAAGGGUUGCCGCCCGGCGGUUUCCCUCAAAACCGCCUAGCGCCAACGCCAAUGCCUACUCCUCGC
rnacentral:lncRNA from 1 species